rnacentral:tRNA from 5 species
UGGGGAUUAGCCAAGCGGUAAGGCAACGGACUUUGACUCCGUCAUUCCCAGGUUCGAUCCCUGGAUCCCCAGCCA